UACGUAGGGGGCGAGCGUUUGUCCGGAGUUACUGGGCGUAAAGCGCACGCAGGCGGUCUGUUAAGUUUUGGAGUGACAGUUGGUGGCUCAACCACCAAAGUGCUUUGAAAACUGAUAGACUUGAGGGCUUCAGAGGGACACGGAAUUCCGGGUGGAGUGGUGAAAUGCGUAGAGAUCCGGAGGAACACCAAAGGCGAAGGGCAGUGUCCUGGGGAGUACCUGGACGCUCAGGUGCGAAAGCCAGGGGAGCGAACGGG
rnacentral:rRNA from 1 species